rnacentral:lncRNA from 1 species
GAGAGUUUUAUGAAAAAAUGAAUCAGAGUCGAGAACUGUCAAAUGACGGGUCGUUUUGGAAAUUUGGUGGUUUUGAGAGCUUAUGAUUGAAAUCUCAUUUUGAGCCAAUGAUGAUGCAAGAUCAUGCAUUAAAUCAUGCAUCUUAAAGGUAGCUCCAACAAUCACAUCCUCAUAAUCUUGGAAGAAACAUCUUGAGAUCAACUCGCGCACAUAACGCAAGCCAACAUCUUCCAAGUUCUCAUUUGGAUUCGAUGAUUGAAGAAUGAGCCCAUGUGCCAUCCAAAAUUGCACCAAUGAGAGAUCUACGAAAUCAUAAUCUUUUGGAAAAACCGAACAAUAAAGAAAGCAUCUUUUCAAGUGAGUCGGCAGUCUUUGAUAGCUUAUUUUCAAGGCAGGUAAAAUGCCAUCUCCCUCUUCUUCCCACUUCUCACUGUCUCUCACCGAUUUCCACUCUGUUUCAUCAGUCUUACCAUACAGUUGAGUCCCCAAGUUAAUCACUGCCAGAGGAACUUGCUUGCAUUUCUCCACUAUUUCUUUCCCAAUUCCAACCAAAUUUGGAUGCAACUCCAUUUGCCCUUCCUUGAAUGCACACUUGUAAAACAACGACAGACAGUCCUCUUGACCAAGAAGACUUAGGUUGUACGCAGCAACAGUACCCAUAAUCUCAGCAACACGUUGACUACGGGUAGUUACUAUAAUCUUACUUCCAUCAGCACCUUUUGAUAACAAAGGCUUCAACAACAACCAUUUUUCAGCAUCUUCAUUCCAAACAUCAUCCAAAAGAAGCAAGUAUUUCCUACCAUUCAAAAUUUCUUCAAGUUUUUUUUCAAGUUCAACCCCAUCCAAAUCGGCACAUCUUUCCCCAGUAGUUGCAGAUUUAAUAAUCUUUUGUAUCACUUGUUUCAAGGAAAAAUCAUCUGAAACACAUACCCUCAUCUUCAGAUCAAAAUGACUUUUUACAUUUUCAGCAUCACACACCGAUUUGGCAAGAGAUGUCUUCCCCAAGCCUCCCAUUCCUACUAUUGGAAGGACAAGGGGAUGUGCAUCACCAACCUUUAUAGGUGCUAUUAAAAGGUUGAUGAUGCGUUCUCUGUCUUUAUCUCUUCCGAUAAGACCGGAAAAGCUCUCAAAGGAUCGGUUCAUCUCUGUUUCCUCAUGCAAGACAUGACUACAAUCAAUAGUCUGCUCGCUGAGGUUGUAGUCAGACUUAAGAGCUGAAAUAUCAUUUAGUCUUUCUAUGAUCUUCUUUAUCUUAUGACCCAUUCUUAACCUGAAUGGAAUCAUAUUAGAACUUGUAAAGAAGUGUUGUACCUUUCUGCUGGUGCUCCCUUUAGUUUUCACCACCCGCCUUUGCAAAGUUUCGCACUCGAUUUCGUCCAGCACGUCCUCUGCAUCAUACAAGACUUCUCUGAGCAUAUGGAGCCAGAGCCGAAUCCUGUCAUUCUUUGAUUGUUGCUUCUCAGCAUCGGACAGCACCACGUUGAUGGCUUUCAAUCUCUCUUCAAGACGUGCAAGGUCAUCUUCAAGUCCCCAUGCCAAACGAAAUUCUUGUACAGCGAAAGAUCCCAGCUUCCCUAAAAGGGAUUUUGCAAUCUCGGCUGCAAAAGCUUCUGCCAUUUUUUUUUGAGUGAGGGGAGAAGUGUUUGAUAGGAAGAAAUGAUUGAGAUAAGAGUGGAGUUCCGCUUUCUGAGUGGAUAGGAGAAGUCGUUGAGUCUUCUUGAUCAUAAAAUUAAGGUAUGAAAAGUCAAAAAGAAGAAAUUUACAAGAAGUUGCUAAUAAGGAAGGACUAGCAAUUUGGAGUUGUGCAAUUGUGUUGUAGCUUCUUCCAUGGAAUAUUGACCACACAUGGUCGAACUCAUUUGGGGAUUUGGGGAGAGUUUGAUGAAAAAACGAAAUGGAAUCAGUAACUGAAAAAUGACGGGUCGUUUUGGAAAAUCGGUGGUUUUGAGAGCUUAUAAUUUAAAACUCAUUUUGAGCCAAUUUAAAAUUUUAUUUUAGAGAACAAUUAUACAAACUAAAAUGGUGUAAGUUUUAAGAAAUACAUGAAAAUUAUAUCUAAUUUAUAAAUUAAAAAAAAAAACACGACUCUGUUCAUCAAGUAAAAUGAACGAGCAAACCAGAACAGAGCUCGCCAGAAUCCUCGAAUGGAUUUGGUUAUGGUAGCAUUGCACCAGACACAUUAUGUGAGGAAAUCCUACGACGUCUUGCUGGGCAUAGCUUGGAGACCGUUCAUGCAUUCAACAAUUCGCAAAAGCAUGAUCCUGGUUCAUGUUAUAGGUGAUAGGGUCUGACUCAGAUUGAUAGUCGAUGACUGGAUAUUUAAUUUAAGCAAUUCAUUUUUUCAAGCAAAAGCAAUGAUUUCUUACUCCUUUUGUCAUCAUUCUUGUCUGAAUAUGUGUGUGUGUGUUUCAUCGUCCAAAGAGCAUUGCAAUAAGGCCACUUGCUUUCACUUUUUUUUUUUUUUGCAAAACUAUAAUCGCAACUUUAUAAAGUAAGGAAAUCAUUGAAGAUUACACUAUUGCUAUGCUUUAGAAAAGCUCACCAAGGCAUAGCUGUGGUAUCCUAUCUGAGAUUUCACUUGUAACAAUAUAAAUGUAUUGUCCGGUUAAUUUACGAGUUACUGGAAUGAGUCGGGUUAAUAAUUUUCUUUCAAAGAAACAAGAAUUAUGUUAAUUUAGCUGGGUUUGGUUUGGUCCUGGAUUUGGUUUGGUCUAGUGAAUCCGUUAGUUCAACAAAGUUUGAUCGGGUGAAUAGUUUUAAAUUAAAAUUCAUUACAAGUUGAGUUUUGAAUCGAGUUUUUCAAGUUAAUCUGUUCAAAUCGACAAAGUUUAAUAAUUACAGCACAAAGGAACUCUUUCCAUCUUUGAUUCAUAAAAUAACUUGGACCCGUUUGUUUGCUGGAAAGUAGUUUUCUUUUGAAAAGUGAAUUAUUUUUUCAUGUUUGGUAGUGUAAUGAAAAAUAAGUUAGAAAACACUUUCUAGUGUUUGGUUAUAUCAUGAAAAAUAAGCUAGAAAAUAACUUAUUAAUAUUUUAUUUUUAAAAAAUUUAUUAAAAUAAUGAGGAACAAAACUUACAAAUUAAAAAGUUGAAUGAGAAUGAAAUUGAAAAAAACAUAAUUUUAUAAAUUAUCUCAAAUGAAAUAAAUAAUAAUUAAAAUAAUAGAGAUCAAAUCUAAAAAAUAAAAAAAAUUAAAAGAUGAAGAAAUUAAAAUAAUAAUAAUUAACAUUUUAUAAAUUAUUUCAAAUAAAAUAAGUAACAAUUAAAAAAAUAGGACCAAAUUUGAUAGAUAAAAAAAAUCAAAUACACCCUUAUUAUGAAUGUAUUAAAAGUAUAUUUAAUAUUUUUCAAAAAAAAAUAUAUUAACUCUAAUCCAGUGGAUCACUCAUCAAAAUCAAAAGAAGGCAGUUUAAUUAGAAAGGGAACGCAUGAGAUAGCACAAAAACAAUCAGGAGAAUAAAUUGUUGUCCAAUGAGAGAAAGAAGACGCGUGUAUUCUUCAAAACCUGUUGAAUGUUAUGAUCAUAUCCUAAAAAGAACAUCCCUUCGUAGGGCUUUUACGUCAGAGGGCUAGAACAUAUACUGCAAUUUUUUUAUAUUUUUUAAAAUUAUUUUUUGAUAAUAAUAUAUUAAAAAUUUCUAAAAAAUUAAAAAAUAAAUAAUUUUAACAAAUAAAUUUUAAAAUUUUAUAAAGAAACAAGUUGCACCACAAAAAUUUAUAAACUUUUAAUAAGUUAUGAGCCUAGUAGUGUUUGUACCAUGGACAAACUAGUCCCGAUAUAAAAAUUUAUGAGCAAAGCCAAGGGAAAAAGAAGAAAAAAAAAGUAAUGCUAAAUAAAAAUUAAUAUUUUCAAACAUUGUUUGAAGGAUUGUUUAUAAAAAGCCGAAUGACAAAACAAUAAUUUACUACAUAGAAAAACGUAUAAGGAAAUAAUUGUAAUAAUUUUAACGACAUAGUUAAUCCUUUAGAGGAACAGUAAGUUCCGAAGCAUUAUUGUAAUAAUAAUCCUUUAUUUAAAUGGUAGGUUCUUGAAGGGUGCAGAAAAGGAUGUCUCUUUGUCAAGUUCUUUUUUGCCACAUCUACUCUUCUUAUCGUUAAGUGUUUGCCUAUGAAACUCAUGCAUGAGACAUCUGAUUCUCGAUCGAUGACUGAACCAGAUUACAUUUAUAGUGCAGCUUUCAGGCUCUACACCUAUAUAUCAGGAUGUUGCAAUAUGCAGGUAGCAGCAGCAAACUUCUGCCUCUAAGGGAAGUUUCUGUGAUUUUCUUUUUGGAAUAGAAAAUCUACUCGGCAUGAUAGCUAGUCAUGCAGACCUUUAAUUUAGAGUUUAAUUAGAGCAACAGCAUGUUCCCAUGCAUUACUCAGAUAUAAAGAAAGGGUAGAUGUCCUUGAAGGGUGCGGUAGAGAGUGAAGGCGGCGACGUCAAUGGUUGCUGAUGGUAGGAAGCGAACAAAAGAUUCAACAACAUAAAUAUACCAAUUAUGAAAAGAUCGGUGGCCAACCUUGACUGCUACUGCUUGACGAUCUUUCAACAUUGCAAGAUGCCCCUGGGUUAGUUAAUAUUGUUUUUGAAAAACUUGAACAUUGUUAUCUAAAAUUAACAUCCAUCAAUAUAAAUACAUGCAAUAACAUAAUUUUUAUUUGUAUUUUUAUAUAAAUACUUUUAUUAACCUUAUUGAUUUUAAACUUAUUUAAUAAUAUAACAUUGUAAAACUUUUCAUGCAAUGCAUUUAUUUAAAAAGCUUAUUUCAAACUGUAUGAUAACUUUCCAAGUUUAAAAUCUUUUUCUUUUUUAUUUUCUUUAACAAUAAACUUCUUAUGCUGUGUCAUAAAUACUUCUCCGUCAAAAUCACCAUUUAAAAAAACUAUUUUCUAUAAAUUUAAUGUAUUUUUAACUUGUUAAUAAUUGUAAUAACUAUUAAUGUACAUAUAAAAGUUAUUAUUAACAUAGAUAAGUAUGUAGCAAAAUAAUUUAUAUUUUUUUUGUUGUUUGAAACCUUUGACAAUAAAUCUUACUUUGUAUUUUUGGAUGGUUCUAUUAGCUUUCAGUUUUCUCUUUCUUGAAUAUCUAUUUAUAGCCUAACAGUGAAUGAAUUUUUGGAUGGUGAGUAUAGAUCUUUCAUCUAUAGUUUGAUGAGACCACCUAAACUAUUUUUCUUUGAUUUUUUAUGUGAACGAAUUUCUUAUGUCUUUUGUAAGCUCAGUUUGGCAGUCAUAGAGCCUGUCGAAGUAGAGGGAUUGUUGGGAUUGUUGAGGGGAUAAAGAGAAGUGUUGUUUCAGCGACGGUGAAGAUGGCAGAGAAUGUCCAUUUCUUGGAAUGAAUGACAGUCGAGAUAAGGCAAAUAUGUGUAGGGGAAUAGCUUUAAAUCUUGGCCUAGAAACAUCCCAUGGCCUAGAAGCAAGGAAAAUGACAUGAACGAAACAAAAAGGAGCUCUCCUUAUCUUUUGCGCAAGGAAUAUAUGGAUAGUGAUGAUUCAAAUUCAAGUCACUAAUGCUAAAUUAAAGCUUGAUAACGAUGAUUAGAUAAAUUUAAGCUGCUUGAUGCUGGUGGCACAUAGUUUAGAAAAGGAAAAUGGGACAAAUGAAAAUUCUCAAAACAGAGCUCACAACACCACCCCUGCCUCCUCUGCAAGCUGCAACCUGGUUUCGUUUAAUAUUUUAGCUAUAAAAUACAGUAUGACGAAAACCAGGUUUGAGUAAAUAUAUUACAAAUGGAAGAGCACCAUAUACAGCUCCAAAUUCUAUAUGACAAUCUCUACCACUAUGGUAUCAAAUCUAAAGACGGUUUGUUUUUAUGUUUUAAAAAUGUUAUUGAAGUAUCAGAGUUUACUGGUAGGUUAUGAAGAGAGAAUUUGCAAUCCGCGACGGUUGAUGCAAUCUGUCAGCAAAAGUGAAAAUGAUUAAAACAUGGUUAAGUAAUUAUUAGCUUAGAGAAAGAACGAGGGGAGGUUUUUACCGACGGUGGAGAUUGUGCAAGAAGAGUGAAGGAAGGCGUGUAUUGAAGAGAUGAAUUUGUUAGGGAAGGAGUCGGGGUGGUUGUGGUGGUAUAGAUAGUGAAGGCGGCGUUGCUAGUGGUUGCUGUUAGUGUUAAAAGUUCGGUUUUUCUGGUUAAAGGAAGCUAGAAGUUUUGUUUGAGGGUCAUUUUAUUUUGCAAGAAGAUGGCAGUGGCUGUGGAUGUGUCGAUGAGUCGCCAGUUUUGACAGCGAGGUACGCGGUGGUAAUGUUUGUUUUUUUUAAAAAAAAUAACGGUUUUUCAAAAAACGAUUGGGAUCAAGGGGUGGUUUUGGAGUGUGUUGGGUAUUUUUACUUAAAAAUAUAUUAAAAUAUUUUUUUUAUUUUUUAAAAAUUAUUUUUAACAGUUACAUAUUAAAAAAAUUAAAAAUUAAAAAUAAUUAAUUUAAGCAAAGAAAUUUUAAAAUUUAAUGAAAAACAGAGUGUAAAAAUUUAUAAACUUUUAAUAUGUUAUUGGAUGUCUCUUCGUUAAGAUCUUUGAAGCUCAUGAUUGAGACAUUGCAGUAAGUUUGAGAUUCUUGAUGACUGUUGUAUUAUUAGAAACAAUUAGCAUAAUUAUUUAAAUAAUUCAGAACAACCAAAUGUUUAUCAAUUUAUUAAUGACAAAUCAUCACACAGAGCUUGCCAAAGAAAUUACACAAAGCAAACACUCCGAGCCUUCAGCUGAUCUUUACAAGAGACUAACUGUCGUAGAAGAUCUUGGCUGACAGGACCCUCAUAGUAGUAAACCUGAAGAAAUUAGACAAACAUAGAAUUUAAUAAUGAUGUAUUAAGUUCAACAACGAGGGAGCAAAUGAACUGAUCGGCAACCAUUAUGAACAAAUGAAAAGCCAAGAACAUCACCAGCAGGAACUACGAGCAAAGCACACAGAGAACGAAUAUUAAUCUCCAGCAAACUAAACACUCUUCAUCUUUAUUUGAACAAACUAGAUUGUCAGCAACAACACCGAACAAAUUGAAGUCCCCGAAUUAUAACCGUCAGCAGAAACCCCAACGAAAGCUGAAGAAAAUUAGACAAACAAACAUAGAAUUUAAUAAUGAUGUAUUUGUUGAGCUGUGAGAUAGCAGUUGAAGAUUGUAUUCUGUUACAGUUGGUUAUAACCAACGGGAAUCUUGUAUAGAUAAUACCCAGCUAAGCUCAUGUAUAAAUAGCAACGAUUACAAGCAAAUAAAGUCAUGAAUUAGAAAUCAUUUACUUACCCAUUGUUUCUCUUCUCUGUUCCUCUCUUCAUUAUUCUUCUCUGCAAAUCUUCUUAUUACUUCAACCAUAUUCUCUGUCUCUUCACAACAUAUGGUAUCAGAGCCAUAUCACUAAAAUCAAAUAAAGAACAUCAAGAAACUGAGUUUUCUUGAAAAACAAAAGCAAAGCAGAAAAGAUCAAUCAAUGACAACAGAAUCAAACAAUUUUGUGCAGGCAGCAAUACCAAGAUUUGAUGGUCAUUAUGACCAUUGGUCUAUGCUUAUGGAGAACUUUCUUAAGUCCAAAGAAUACUGGAGUCUAAUAGAAAAAGGGAUUGGUGCAGCAAGAGGAGAAGGAGCACAAUCAGCAGCACAACAGAAAGUAAUUGAAGAAGAAAAAUUGAAGGAUUUAAAGGUCAAGAACUACCUAUUUCAAGCCAUUGACAGAACCAUCAUUGAAACUAUACUCAAUAAGGAGACUUCAAAGGCCAUCUGGGAUUCCAUGAAACUGAAAUAUCAAGGAUCCACCAAAGUGAGACGUGCCCAGUUACAAGCACUUAGAAGAGAAUUUGAAGUUCUUGGCAUGAAAGAAGGGGAAAAAGUUGAUGAGUACUUUACAAGAACAUUAACUAUUGCAAACAAAAUGCAAGUGCAUGGAGAAAGUAUGAAGCAGAAUGUAAUUGUUGAGAAAAUUUUAAGGUCAAUGACCUCAAAAUUCAAUUAUGUUGUCUGUUCUAUUGAAGAAUCUAAUGAUUCUUCAACCAUGUCAAUAGAUGAACUUCAAAGCAGUCUCCUAGUUCAUGAACAGAGGAUGCAAGGUCAGAAAGAAGAAGAGCAGGCUUUAAACAUUACUAAUUCAGAGAAAAUGGGAGGAAGAAUUGAAUACAGAACUGAAGGGAAGGAAAGAUUUCGUGGUGGUAUCAGGGGAAGGGGUCGAGGAAGGGGAAGACAGCCCUACAACAAAGCCUUGAUCCAGUGCUACAACUGCCAAAAACUAGGACAUUUUCAAUACGAAUGUCCUGUUAGAAACAGAAAUGACAGGAAUGCAUAUUUUGCAGAAGUAGAUGAGGAAGAAGAGAUGUUAUUAAUGGCCUACAAAGAUGAAGGGGAUCAUGAAGAUAUACAGCAAAAAGAAAAAGUUGUAUGGAUUCUUGACUCAGGUUGCAGCAAUCACAUGUGCAGCAACAAGGAAUGGUUUUUUGAAUUUGAUGACAAGUUUAGAAGAACUGUAAAGCUUGGAGACAAUUCAAAAAUGAUGGCUAUGGGAAAGGGAAAUAUCAAGCUAAACCAUCAAAGGAAUUACACAGGUUCCACAGAGGUAUAUGCUAAACAUCAAAGGNNNNNNNNNNNNNNNNNNNNNNNNNNNNNNNNNNNNNNNNNNNNNNNNNNNNNNNNNNNNNNNNNNNNNNNNNNNNNNNNNNNNNNNNNNNNNNNNNNNNAAACAGUUAGCAAUUCAUAUCAAAGAUGACAAAUGUAGGGUUUAUCACCCUAAGAAAGGUUUGAUUAUGCAAUCUCAAAUGUCAUCUAACAGAAUAUUUCUCAAAUGACAAAAACAGUUAGCUACUGUGAUAACUCCUAUGGCUAGUUGUCUACAAGCAACAUCUGAAGAUGUCACCAAUCUAUGGCACUGUCGAUAUGGGCAUCUAAGCCUCAAGGGGCUGAAAACCUUGGUUUCAAUGGAUUUUAUAGAUGAUUAUAGUAGAAAAACUUGGGCAUAUUUUCUAUUACACAAAUCUGAAGCACUGUCUAUAUUCAAGAAAUAUAAAGUGAGUGUGGAAAAAGAAAGUGGUGAAAGAAUCAGUUGUUUAAGAACUGACAGAGAGGGAGAGUUCACCUCAAGUGAAUUUAAUGAUUUUUGCAGCACACAUGGAAUCAAGAGACAACUUACCACAGCAUACACCCCACAGCAGAAUGGGGUUGCAGAGAGAAAGAAUCGCACCAUAAUGAAUAUGGUGCGCAGCAUGUUGUCAGGGAAGGAAUUACCAAAGCAAUUCUGGGCAGAGGCUGUAAAUUGGUCCAUCUAUGUGAUAAAUAGAAGCCCCACCACAGCUGUUCCCAAUACUACUCCUGAAGAAGCUUGGAGUAACAGGAAGCCUAGUGUUGAGUGUUUCCGUGUGUUUGGAUGUGUGGCUUAUGCUCACAUACCUGACAAUCAACGCAAGAAGUUAGAUGACAAAAGUUUCAAAUGUGUGUGGUUAGGAGUAAGUGAAGAGUCUAAAGGGUACAGACUUUAUGACCCUGUGGGAAAGAAAAUCAUCACUAGCAGAGAUGUAGUAUGUGUGGAAAAUGAAAAGUGGGAGUGGGACAGAAGUGCAGAAGAGUUGAAGCAUAAAGAGUUAGAAUGGGCAGACAUUAAUGAGGAAGAAGACAGUGAGAUCAGUGGAGGUUUUGAAGGUGUAAACAGUCAUCCUGAACAUGUUGAUGGUGUGCACAAUGAUAACUCAUCAAGUAGUCUUGUAGAUAGUCUACCUGAUGGAAUAUCACAGAAUGACAAGCAAGAAAGGUGCAGAAGAAAACCAACCUGGUUAACAGAUUAUGUGACUGAUGAAGCACUAUCUGAAGGAGAAGAAGAGGGAGGACAUAAUCUUGCAAUGCUCAUCUCUACAGAGGACCCUGUCACAUUUGAAGAAGCAGUCAAAAGUGAAAAGUGGAGAACAGCAAUGGAUACAGAGAUAAAGGCCAUUGAAAAGAACAAUACAUGGGAAUUAACUGUCCUACCAGCUGAAGCAAAACCUAUAGGAGUGAAGUGGGUAUUCAAGACCAAAUUAAAUGAAGAGGGAAAGGUGGACAAGCACAAGGCAAGGCUUGUGGCAAAGGGGUACUCCCAAAGACAAGGAAUUGACUAUAAUGAAGUAUUCGCACCAGUAGCUAGGUGGGAUACAAUCAGAACUAUCCUAGCAUUGGCAGCUCACAAAGGCUGGUAUGUUUAUCAGCUGGAUGUUAAGAGUGCCUUUUUGCAUGGAGAGCUAGCUGAAGCCAUAUUUGUUGAACAACCACAAGGAUUUGAGAAACAAGGAGAGGAGCAUAAGGUGUACAGACUGAAAAGAGCAUUAUAUGGACUCAAGCAAGCCCCUAGGGCUUGGUACAGCAGAAUUGAGACUUACUUUGUCAAAGAGGGCUUUGAAAAAUGCUUCUGUGAACAUACAUUAUUCACAAAAACCAGUGACAAAGGCAGUAUGCUAAUUGUAAGUCUAUAUGUGGAUGAUCUUAUCUUUACAGGAAAUAGUGAAUGCAUGUUUAAAGGCUUCAAAGACUCAAUUAUGAGAGAGUUUGACAUGUCUGAUCUUGGAAGAAUGAAGUACUUUUUAGGUGUGGAAGUCAUACAAAAUGCAGAACUGAUAUUCAUCUGUCAAAAGAAGUAUGCUAGAGAGGUGUUGGGAAGAUUUGCAAUGGAACAUAGUAAUGCAGUGCAGAAUCCAAUUGUCCCAGGAUGCAAACUUACAAAAAAUGAAGAAAAUGCAAAGGGUGUAAAUACUACAGAAUAUAAGCAAUUAGUUGGCAGUUUGCUAUAUUUGACAGCCACUAGACCCGAUCUUAUGUAUACAGUUGGGUUAGUCAGUAGAUAUAUGGAAAGACCCACUGAAAUGCACCUUCAAGCUGUCAAAAGGAUACUAAGGUAUCUCAGGGGAACUACAGAAUUUGGGAUUAUAUACAGAAAAGGGGAUGAAGGACAACUAAGAGCAUAUGCAGAUAGUGAUUAUGCUGGGGAUGUUGAUGACAGGAAGAGUACAUCUGGUUUUGUGUUUAUGCUUGGUACAGGAGCUGUUUCUUGGUCCAGUAAGAAACAACCCGUGGUGACAUUAUCUACAACAGAGGCAGAGUUUAUAGCUGCUGCAUCCUGUGCUUGUCAAGGAGUUUGGUUAAGAAGAAUUCUGGGCAAUAUUGGCCUUGAACAAGUGACUAGUACAGUGAUCUAUUGUGAUAAUAAUUCUGCUAUAAAACUUUCAAAAAAACCCAGUACUACAUGGUCGAAGCAAACACAUAGAUGUCAGAUUUCACUUCCUAAGGGAUCUUACAAGAGAUGGGGUUGUGGAACUAGUAUACUGCAACACACAAGAGCAAAUUGCAGAUAUCAUGAUGAAACCACUAAAGCUGGAGGCUUUCUUAAAGCUAAGGGACAAAUUAGGCAUGGGUAUGAUGCAAAAAUUGAACUAAUCGACAAAUUAGUUCAAGGGAGGAUGUUGAGCUGUGAGAUAGCAGUUGAAGAUUGUAUUCUGUUACAGUUGGUUAUAACCAACGGGAAUCUUGUAUAGAUAAUACCCAGCUAAGCUCAUGUAUAAAUAGCAAUGAUUACAAGCAAAUAAAGUCAUGAAUUAGAAAUCAUUCACUUACCCAUUGUUUCUCUUCUCUGUUCCUCUUCAUUAUUCUUCUCUGCAAAUCUUCUUAUUACUUCAACCAUAUUCUCUGUCUCUUCACAACAGUAUUAAGUUCAAAGAAAUUUAAAUUGCUGAAUGAAUUAGUCAACUUUGCAUUUUAUCAUGACAUACCUUGUCUUCUUCUCUUGCUUAUGGAGUUCCACUUGAACCUGCCUCUCCAAAAACACAAGAGGUUUUGUCAGUUUUUUUUUUUUUGAAAGCUAAUAUUGUUUUCAGGGAAAACAAUUUAAACGAAAAAAAGAAUUGAAGAAUAGAUAAAAAUGUAAAACUAAAUAUGAUAGAUUUAAAUAUGGUUUGCUGCUGCUACCUGCCUAAGAUGUCUCUUCACCACUGUCAUCAUCGUCAUUCUUGAUUUUAGGGAUAUGUUUGAUCUUGGGCCAAUCUUCUCCGGUUCUCCUUCGGCAUCUUUUGCUCAAACUUGGACAAUCACUGAUCUCAAGAUUUUGAAGUUUAUUUAAAUUGCCGAUGCAAUCUGGCAUUUCUACAAUGUUUGGACAAUAUUUGAUCAUAAAUGUUUGCAAGGAUUCUGCAGAUCCUUGAAGAAGCUGUUCUGGUAAAGCAAGAGUUGUUGGUAAGUACUCAAAUAUUACAAUACGAAGGGAAAGGGAAAGAGGUUGAAUUUUUUCUUCUUUCUCUUCUUCUAUAGUCAUCAAAUCAACCUUUCCACAGUGAAUAAUACAAAAUUCUUCUAGAGUAGUUAGGCAUUUUAUGCUUCGUGGCAAAGAAAUCAAGCUUCCACAACUACUGAUAAACAAUUUUCGAAGACUUUUAAGACCUUGCAUAUCUUCGCACAAAUUUUCACACUGAACAAUGAGUAAAGUUUGUAGACACUCCAAACACCCAAUCCCUCCUUCUGGCAACCGCUUCUGCUGAGUUAAUAGAAAUAAAAAUCUAAGGCUGAUCAUGUGCCUCACAUCUUUGGGCAGCUCUUCUAAUCCUUCACCUGUAACUGCCAGAGCUUGCAAGUUUUGCAAUUUGAAAAUAGAUUUUGGGAGUCUUUUUAUUUUUGUAUUGUUCCCAAAAUAGAGAUAUCUCAAAUGUUUCAAGGCCCCAAUACUCUCCGGAAAAGUCUCAAAUUCAGAAUCAUCCAUUAAUUCCAAAGACCGCAAAUGCUUAAAUUCUAACAAACAUUUCUCAAAGUCUGUUUUGCAUGUAGGCCCCACUAUACUAUCUGCAAAGACUAUUGACCGCACUUGAUGGAAGUUGUUUGGGAACGUGGGGAGAGUUCUAUGAAAAAAUGAAUCAGAGUCAAGAACUGACAAAUGACGGGUCGUUUUGGAAAUUUGGUGGUUUUGAGAGCUUAUGAUUGAAAACUCAUUUUGAGCCAAUGAUGACGCAAGAUCAUGCAUUAAAUCAUGCAUCUUAAAGAAAGCCAUAACAAUACCAUCCAAAAUUGGAUCAUAAUCUUGGAAGAAACAUCUUGAGAUCAACUCGCGCACAUAACGCAAGCCAACUUCUUCCAACUUCUCAUUUGGAUUUGAUGAUUGAUGAAUGAGCCCAUGUGCCAUCCAAAAUUGCACCAAAUAGAGAUCCACGAAUAGGUAAUCUUUUGGAAAAACCGAACAAUAAAGAAAGCAUCUUUUCAAGUGAGUCGGCAGUCUUUGAUAGCUUAUUUUCAAGGCAGGUAAAAUACCAUCUCCCUCUUCUUCCCACUUCUCACUGUCUCUCACCGAUUCCCACUCUUUUUCAUCAGUCUUACCAUACAGUUGAGUCCCCAAGUUAAUCACUGCCAGAGGAACUUGCUUGCAUUUCGCCACUAUUUCUUUCCCAAUUCCAACCAAAUUUGGAUGCAUUUGCCCUUCCUUGAAUGCACACUUGUAAAACAACGACAGACAGUCCUCUUGACCAAGAAGACUUAGGUUGUACGCAGUAACAGUACCCAUAAUCUCAGCAACACGUUGACUACGGGUAGUUACUAUAAUCUUACUUCCAUCAGCACCUUUUGAUAACAAAGGCUUCAACAACAACCAUUUUUGAGCAUCUUCAUUCCAUACAUCAUCCAAAAGAAGCAAGUAUUUCUUACCAUUCAAAAUUUCUUCAAGUUUUUUAUUAAGUUCACCCCCAUCCAAAUCCGCACAUCUUUCCCCAGUUGCAGAUUUAAUAAUUUUUUGUAUCACUUGUUUCAAGGAAAAAUCAUCUGAAACACAUGCCUCCAUCGUCAGUUCAAAAUGACUUUUUACAUUUUCAGCAUCACACACCGAUUUGGCAAGAGAUGUCUUCCCCAAGCCUCCCAUUCCUACUAUCGGAAGGACAUAAGGAUGUGCAUCACCAACCUUAAAAGGUGUUAUUAAAAGGUUGAUGAUGCGUUCUGUGUCUUUAUCUCUUCCGAUAAGACCGGAAAAGCUCUCAAAGGAUCGGUUCAUCUCUGUUUCCUCAUGCGAGACAUGCCUACAAUCAAUAGCCUGCUCGCUGAGGUUGAACUCAGACUUAAGAGAUGAAAUCUCAGCUAGUCUUUCUAUGAUCUUCUUUAUCUUAUGACCCAUUUUUAAACGGAAUGGAAUCAUAUUAGAACUUGUAAAGAAGUGUUGUACCUUUCUGCUGGUGCUCCCUGUUGUUUUCACCACCUCUCUUCGCAAAGUUUCGCACUCGAUUUCGUCCAGCACGUCCUCUGCAUCAUACAAGACUUCUCUGAGCAUAUGGAGCCAGAGCCGAAUCCUGUCAUUCUUUGAUUGUUGCUUCUCGGCAUCGGACAGCACCACGUUGAUGGCCUUCAAUAUCUCUUCAAGACGUGCAAGUUCAUCUUCAAGUCCCCAUGCCAAACGAAAUUCUUGACCAGCGAAAGAGCCUAGCUUCCCUAUAAGGGAUUUUGCAAUCUCGGCAGCAAAAGCUUCUGCCAUUUUCUUUUUGAGUGAGGGGAGAAGUGUUUGAUAGGAAGAAAUGAUUGAGAUAAGAGUGGAGUUCCGCUUUCUGAGUGGAGAGGAGAAGUCGUUGAGUCUUCUUAAUUAUAAUGUACAAUGGCUCCAUGGAUUGCUUGUUUAAGUGGUUGUUCUCUUUCUUUUCUUUUCUUCAUUAUAUUAGCGAUCCUUAAUUGUUUUUGAGUAGUUGACCAAGAAGCUAUAAUCCCACCCUACUUACGUGUCAUCUACUUAAUCUUAAUUUAUGUACCCAAUUGUGAAGUUGAGGAGGGAAAAGAAUAUAUAAUAAAUUGAAUACAUUAUUAACUUAUUUGAUACAUUACAUUUGAUAUCAAUUGAAAUUGUGGCUUGGAAAACAGGGAUAUAUGUUAAUAUCAUGGCCGCCCCACCCACAGUUUCCACCUUUCACACCGAAGGUUUCACAAAACAAGACCCCACCGUGAAGUAUCCACGCGUCCAAAUUGACUUCAUUGACUAAUCAGCAGGCAUCUUCCCUCCCGGCUCCAUCUAAAGUGUUGACAGGUUCAGCCUACAUCAUGAAACACAGGGACCUGCGAGGGUCCCUGUGCUUUUAUACAUGUAAAUGUACACAGUCACUCCGUAAUGUAAUUUUAACUUUGCGUACAGAAAUUUGCAGCUAAAACACGAAUACGUUAAUCCCAUGACUGCCCACAGUUUUCACAUUUCACACGGCGUAAUCACUAAAAACCACAUUCCCAGUAAUUCUAAAUCCCAAACUUAUGAACAUAUAUUAAAGUCUUUGAGACAAGUAAAUAUGAAACACAUGCCAUCUUUAAGCAUGUUGUGUGAAAUGUACUUCAUGAAUUGCUUGUUUAAAAGGCUGUUUUCUUUUUCAUAAUAUUAGCGAUUUAAUCCUUAUUUGCUUCUGUGUAAGUGGCCAAAUAAGACAGAUACUGCUUUGAAGUUCUAUAUAGGAAUUGAGGAUCGGUUUUAGCUCGCUUGCUACUAUGACAGUCCAGUUCUUAUGAACACGGUUCUAUACGGUCCUUCCAUUUCUGAAUCAUUUAUAGCAUUAAUUUUACUACUCUUCUCAAGGAACCAUAAUUCCACCCGAAUUUCAAGCUGCUGAAAAGGGAAAAUGUUGUUUAACAAAUUAAGUACAUUCUUAAUUUAUUUGAUUAUUUUUACUACGUAACAUAACCGUAUAAAAAAGGUAACGGGGAGAGUUCUUCAAGGUUUUGCUGGGAUAUGGAUUCAUGGAUUUUUAAGAGUUUUAAUAGGCUAUGGGCUAGUAGUUUUUCGGCCAUGGCCAAACUAGUCCUAAAAUAUUUUCUUAAUAGCAAGUUUCACUUCUGGUCUUUUUACGGGUAUCUUGAAAUGGGAUUAUGGGCUGUGGAAUGUUAAAAAGCACAAUUAGUAAGGACGCAAAUGAGCAAAAAGAAAACGAUUAUUUGUGAGGAUGUGCUGUCGCGCAUGGAAUUCAAGUAACAGGUGCGUGGUGAUGAGAGAAUUAAGAGUUAUCGUUAGAACCCAGUCAGGUAAGAAUUUUAUACACCUAGGAAUCAUAAAACCUCAGUUCCCUGGUUAAUUAUGGAAUUGCUUAGAUGGUGUUAUACUGUAGCAACUUCUCAAACAGGCACCGGAGAAUCAAGAAAAUGAUACGACUCCAGACCACCAGUCCCUGUACCAUUCUACAUCAUUUAGAAGACUUCAAUGGCCACCCCCAUCACAAUGCAUGCGCUUCUGCACUUUGUUGCUGGCAAUUUCUCCAAUGUAUCUGAUCACUUGAAGAAAUAAUAGUAAUUAAAAUAUGGAGAAUGCAUGCAAUGAAGAAGUUACACGAGUUCUUCAUGUAUCUAUCAAGGAGAUCAAGAACACAUAAAAUAACCAAAGGAAUACACAGACCAAGUUCUGAAGAAAUAGUCUCUCUGAAUUCUGUUAUCAGCCAGUUAAAUCUGUAAUCAGGGAAAAGUUGUGGAAAGAAAAUAAGAGCAAAACAUAACUCUAAGCCAGUGGAUCACUCAUCAAAAUCAAAAGAAGGCAAUUUAAUUAGAAAGGGAACACAUGAGAUGGGCACAAAAACAAUCAGGAGAAUAAAUUUUUGUCCAAUGAGAAAAAGAAGACGCAUGUAUUCUUCAAAACCUGUUGAAUGUUAUGAUCAUAUCCUAAAAAGAACAUCCCUUUGUAGGGCUUUUACGUCAGAGGGCUAGAACAUAUACUGCAAUUUUUUCAACAUUAGUUCUUCUUUCUGUGCAUAAUCAUGUGAUUUACCAUCCACAAACUAACUUCACUAAAAGAUGGUGCCAACAGAAUGCAACAGAGAAAUAAUUAAAAUUGUUAAGAUAAUGUUAUCACAUACUCAUGCAACAGAUUUUGGGAUAAGUGACAUAAUGGCUAUGUCGAUCUUCAACGUGAUUUCUAACCCACGGUAGUACUGUACCUACAUGCAGAAAAAAAUAAGCAUGUUACUUUCAAGUACAUCUAUCACAAUGAGGAUGGGCCGUGAAUACCUACACUUCACCUCAACUCAAUUGGUGACUUGCCAUUACAUGCAAGCCCUGUAACCCACUGAAGCAGACCCAUUAACAGAAGAGUAACACAAAUUAUUGAUAGAUACAGAGAUUUUAAACCCUGCCUGCUUCAAGAUUUAGAUUCUAGAUUUUGGCUGGGUCACUGGAUUUUGGUAGGAUUAUUGGGUCACUCGAGUCAUUUCUGAUAUUUUUUAAAAAUUAAAAUGACAUUGUUUUAGUAAGAAAAAAAAACAAAAAUCAACGGGUUGCAACCGGGUUUUUGACCGGGUCAACCCGCUAGGUUUUGAAUUUUUCUAUUUUUUUUUAAACCCGAUCCAGUUCUAGUCUCAGGUCAGCUAGAUCCCCGAUGAACCCUUAAGGCCGGGUCAGAUUUCAAAACUAUAAAUAAAUAUGCUUGUGUGUCCGUGUGGAGAGAUCAUUGUCAAAAAUUAAUAAACAAAUUGAUAAACUAUGUUAAUAUUUUUUGCAUGAAAAAUAUGAAAAUGUGUAAUUCAUUUUUAUUUCACAAUCAAAAUUAAUCAACCCUGAAGUUUUUUAUUGAACUUUUUUUGUAAGUUUUUCAUAAGCAGAUGUAAAUAUUCUACCAGACGUAUUAUAAAAGUAAAAGACAACAAUUCAAUAAUAUAUAAAAAAUACUAAAUUUGAAAAUUAAGAAGAAAAAAAACCAUGGAAUAAGGGUUAAAAGCAAAUUCACUCAGCAGGCAAUUGGCUACUUGGGAUGCUACUCGUCUGGGUAGAGACUUUUUCUAUUUAGGUGAUGGAGUAUUUACCGUUGCAUUUGACUAUUGUUAUUCCCUAUCUGGACACCAACACAUGCUGCGUGCAUGCUUCUCUAAUAAUAUGUUUUUUUUAAUUAAUUAAUUUAAAUAAUGGUUAGUUGAUUUCAUAAAAGUAUUAUUAUUUAUUUAAUGUUUUUUAUUAAUUGGGAUCUUAAUUUAUUUAUUAUCCACGUAGCACUUUAACUUAAACAGGUUUUGGCAAUAUCAUAAACAACCUUUAUAGAAAAGCACGUGAUGUCCCUCUCAGAAUCUGAGAUUUGUUAGCUUUUUAAGAUGAUAGUCAUGAUGUAUUGUUAAUCAAUUUUAAAACUUAAUUAAUUAAAAGGAAUUAGAAGAAUAAUAUUAUGUUACUAGCUAUUUGACCCGCAAUCUUUAAUGGAUCGUAAUUUGUUUUUUAAAAAAAACUUAAGUAUAUAGGCUAUUUUGAUAUGUUUUUUUUUAUAAAAAAAAUUCUAGCUGUAAAUCGAAAACUUAUUCAAACAUCUAAUAAUCAUCUAUGUAAAUAAAUAAUAAAAAUUGUAAACAAUAACUAAAAAAAAACUGAAAAAAUUAAAAAAUAGAUAUAGAUCAAGAUGUUCGAUCUUGUAAAAUAAGAUAUUUACCUACUUGUUUAUACUUAACUUUUUUAUUAAAAUAAAUGAAAGAUAAUAGUAAUAAAAACACAUAUUAAACUAAGUCAAUAAAAUAAAAAUAAUUUUUUUUUCAAAAUAACUAUUUUUUUUACAUAACAAAGCUUAUCUAUAUAGAAUAAGAUAAGAAAUUUUCAAAAAUUAAAUACAAAACAAAAUAAUUUUUUUAAAAAAAAUUUAUCCAAAAAAGGCUUGCAAAAUCCGUGGUCGAAGUAAUGAGACCAAGAUAAACAUAAAACAAAUUGAAAAUAACCAUAAAACAAAUUUGUUUUAGAAAAAAAUAAUAUAGAAUGAUAAAAUCAUAAAAUAAAAUGAGAAAAAAGGAUUUUAAUCGUAUUAACUCUUAAAAUAUGAAACCUUAGAAAUUUAUAAUUUAAAUAUGCGGAUGUACUGUAAACCCUUGUGUAAACGUAAAACUGAAAGUGGUAAGAUCUCGAUGAGUGAUGGAAACUGAGAUAAGAAAUAAUAGAUAAAUGAUGAUAAUGAAAAUAAUUGUGAUGUAUAUAGAAAGGGGAUGACCUCCAUAAAAUAAAUUUUAGUUUAGAAUUCAUAACGACAAAGAAACUAGUAACGUAUUUUGAUGGAUAAAAUAAUGAAGAAAAUGAUGAAAUAUUUAUAAAGAAUAAGUGGCGUUACUUUGAAACAAUAAUAAGCCUGAUAAAUAAAUAACGGUGGAAAAUUUAAAAUAAAUAUAUUUCAAAAUAAUAAAAUAACCCUAAAGGUUUAGAAUGAUAAUUGAUAUGAUUUAUGUGAGGAUUGGACAAGAAAAAGUUGGAUUGUUGAUGAAAAGUCAUGAACUGACAUAUUUUGCAUUAAAGAGCAUAGCUCUCAAUCCAAUCAUCGUAUCGGGAAAAAAGUUUGCAUGAAGUCUAUUAAUGUGUUGUCUUACCUUGGUUUAAGAUCUCAGCUCAAUUGAAGUUCAGUAAGGACUAGCUAUUUAAGCUGAAAAACCAGAUAGUUUACGUGAAAAAUAAAAUAAAAUACAUAAGAGCAUAAAUAAGGGACAAAUUUGUAAUUAAUGGCAAAUUUGCCUUUAAAACAGCAAAGAGGCCAAAUAUUACAAAAGAAAAAAGUGAGACAAUAGAGAAAAUUCAACUAGAGAGAGAGAGAGAACUGUAGAAUUUGGAGGAGCCAACCUAAACAAGGCAGUAUACUUCGAUGGUCAUAUCUCCGACAUCAACCGUGGCUAAAGAUAUGUUAUUAGUUGAUACUUGGCACCAUGACGAGGGUGACCAAGGUUAUGAGUUGAUACUUGACAUCAUGAUGAGGGUGACUAAGGUAAUAUAAAGAUGCUUAGUGACCGUAGUGUUGGUAACUAAGAUUGUGUAUGAAUGAUACUUGGCAAUCGUAGUUACAAUGUAUAUGAUGUUAAUAAAUAAAAUUGAAAAGAGAUCGCCACGAAUGGAAGGUUGAGAUGAAAUUGAUUAGCUAUCCGUGUUUGGAUAGCAAAUGGUAUGAAUAUGGUUCCAUUAGUGCCAAUAUUCCUUAAAUUAAUUAGUCGAUCCCGGAUAAUCAGGUGACUAAUAAUGUUAGUAAUUAUUACUAAUAUCGGUAUGGUUACUCCCUGUUAAUGGAACAAGAUAAGUUGAUUAACUAUUCCAGGUCGGCAAUAGUUAAUGAUAUCAAUGAGUCGCAUUGGUAUUGGUAACCAUUUCUGGUGUGAUUAACUACUCCGGGUAAAGAGGCUAAUGAUGUCAAGGGUUCUUGACAUUGACAUCUUUGAUGGUAAAUUAGAUAUGGAUAAGAAUUGAUUAACUAUUUUGGGGUAGGAAUAGUUAAUGAUAUCAAUUGGUUGUCUUGAUAUUGACAUUUGAAUGGAAUUGAAUAGUGUAACCCGGUAUUGGGAGAUUAAUGAUAUUAAUAAGAUUCAUUAGUAUUGACAAUUACCUUCCAGAAAAUGAGAAAGAAAGAAUUGAUUAGUUAUUCUGAAAGAAUGAGAUAAACUAAUGAUACCAAAAGAGGAAUAUCCUGGUAUCAGGUGAGAAUUGAAUCAUAAAGAGAUUGUGUUAGAAACCAUUGAGAUGCGUUGAAAUUUUCAAGAUGAAAUUAUUCUCAGCAAAUGAGUUAGAAUAUUAGAUGGAUAUUGGUGAUAGAUAAAAUUAUUAUCAGCAAAUGAGUUAAAAUAUUAAAAAAAUGUAUGUUGUAAAAUUGGUAUAUGGCAAACUUUAUGUAUCAAAAGAAAUAACAUAGAACUUAUUACCUAUCAUUUUUAUUGUUCGUUACCACUUUUUUUAAUUAAUUAUAUGUACAUGUUAAUUUCUAGUUCAUGUCCAUCAGGGUCACUUGAGGAGUGAUUUUAAUUUAGUUACCUUUUGCUUUUAGAUAUGUAAUUAUUUGUAAAUCAAGAGACUUAUCUCUUAAAACUUGAAGUGUAAUAUUAACUCGUAAAUUUACAUGUAUGACUUUAAUUUAAUAUUUGUAAUUCUAAGUAUCUAUUUAACCAUGCAUGUUUAUAGUUGAAAUUGAAUCUUUUAUUUGAUUCAUAUUACAUGAUGUUAUUAUACAAGAUAUAGUUUAUAUGAUGAUAUUAUGUAAUAAUUGAAUUAUGCAUUGUUAUUUUGUGACUUAAAUUUUAUGAUGUUAUUAAAUAUGAUGUGUUGUGUUGAUGAUGAUGAUGAGUUGGAUUGAGAUCCAGGAUGAUUGGACCGGGUUGUGAAAUGAAAUUGGAAGUAUAAUAUGAUUUUGUCGAUAACUUGAGACCUCCUAGUAUAGGCGAGACUUCGCUGAAAUUUUGGUAGAAUUUUUGGUGGAACCUAUAUAAAAACAAUUACACUAAAAAUCCUCAAUAUAUUGUGAAAAAAGAUGUAGAAAAUUGGGGUUGUUACAUAAAACUUGUGACCCGUGUUAUUAGAUUGGAAGCACAACAAAUGAAAAAACCAUUAAGCCUAGUCUCGAACAAAUCAAACACUGAAGGAUGUAACUAAAAAAAAACCAACCAUAUAAAAAAUUAUAAUUAAAAGAAUGAGGAUAAAAAAAUGAAAUAAAAAAUAAAUUUGAGGGCAUAAAAAAAUUUAAAUUCGAGGGUUAAAUUGAAAAGAAAAAAACUUUAACAAAAUAAAAAGGAAAUCAAAAGAAUAAAGGCUAAAUUGAAAAAAAUAAAACAACAUAAACUUAGCCCAUCCUAGCUUUCAGCGAGAUNNNNNNNNNNNNNNNNNNNNNNNNNNNNNNNNNNNNNNNNNNNNNNNNNNNNNNNNNNNNNNNNNNNNNNNNNNNNNNNNNNNNNNNNNNNNNNNNNNNNAAAUAAAACACAUAACUUUGAUUGAAUGAUGAUAUUGAAAACCAAUAAAACUUUAAUAGAAAAGUGAAAUGGAAAAACAAUAUAUGACGAAUUAUAAUUUAAGAACUAAAUUGAAAACAUAAUUUUUUUCCUAAACAAGUCAAUGAUGAAAAUAAACAAUCAAAUAUAUAAGGAUUGAAAUUGAAAAACAAAAUGAAAAAGAGAGGAAGAGGACGCGGUGACACUUCUAAGGACACAAUGAAAGGUCAUGUUUUAACAUCGGACGACAUCUCAUGCAUUGCCCAAAGAAUGUGGGAGUCACCUAAACACUAACGCGUAAAGUAAACGCACCAACAACUUUCCUGAAUUAAAAAUAAAAAAAUCUUUGUAGAAUUACCAAAACACUUUUAUUACCCUGGAAAUAACAGAUAAAUCAAUGUGAAAGAAACAAAACAAUCCUAAAUGCAUAAAUUUUUCUUUGUCUUUUAUAAGGGAAAAUAUGUAUUUUAAAUGUAGCCUAAGAAGGAAAAAAAUAAGAAAAAAAAGUUCUUGAUCAACAACUCAAGUAUUUUUUGACAUUGAAGGCAAAUAAUUAUUUACUAUUUUAAAAUUUGAGAAAAGACAAAAAAAACUUAGUUAACAGUUAUAAAAUUUAUUGAUCUUGAUAGUAGAGUAGUAUUUUCACUGUACAAAACAAUUGGAAAGACUAACAUAUUCUUGACCAAUCUUUAAUGACCAAUGAGCAUAAGGAAAAGACCAAAAUACCCUCACAUCCAAGGUUUUUAUUUUUUCAACCCAAAAGCAUAAUGAUAAUUUUUUUAUAGAAAUCCACAAUAAAUUGUGUCAAUGGCUACAAUGAAAAACACAUGCCCUACAAUUUUCUACUUAGUCUUUUUAUAAUAUUAUUUAAUUUAAAUGUUGAUUUGGUUAUAUUAGGCUAGUUUUUAUCCCUAAAUCUGUCACCACCAAAAUAUCCUUAAUAUUUCAUGUACAUUCUUAACAUUUCACAUUUAAAUCUUACUUUCUCAAUAGUGUUUUUUAAAAGAAUUAAUCUCAUACAAAAAAAAAAGAAUAAUUUUGAACUACACUUAAUUUUAAAUUAAAUAAGAUUAUAAAGAAUUUAAAAAACAUACAUUUGCGAUUUAACAUUGGUUAAUAGUUUGACAAGAGAUUUUGUCAAAAAAUUACAUUGCAUUUUAUUUUUCAAAGCUAAUAUUGUUUUUAGGGAAAAGAAUUUAAACGAAAAUAAGGAACUGAAGAAUGGAUAAAAAUGUGAAACAAAAAAUGUGAAACUAAACAUAACCCGUUUCUAAUGAGAUGUUUCUUCAUCUCUGUCAUCAUCUUCCACCUUGCUGUUAGGGAUAUGUGCGAUCUUGGGCUAAUCUUCACCUGUUCCCUUUCGGUAUCUUUUGCACAAUCACUGAUCUCAAGAUAGUAAGAAUAAUAAUAAUAAUAAAAUUAACUUCAUAAUUCAUAUACUUCGAGUAAUUUCUGAUAGUAAGAAUCAGAGUUUACUGGUAGGUUAUGAAGAGAGUAUUUGUAAUCCGCGACGGUUGAUGUAAUCUGUCAGCAAAAGUGAAAAUGAUUAAAACAUGGUGAAGUAAUUAGCUUAGAGAAAGAGAAAGAGGAGGUUUUUACCAACGGUGGAGAUUGCGCAAGAAGAGCGAAGGAAGGCGUGAAGUGGAGAGAUGAAUUUGUUAGGGAAGGAGUCGGGGGUGGUUGCUGUUAGUGUUAAAAGUCUGGUUUUUCUGGUUAAAGGAAGCUAGAAGUUUUGUUUGAGGGUCAUUCUAUUUUCCAAGAAGAUGGUGGUGGCUGUGGUGAUGUUUGUGAGUCGCCAGUUUUGACGGCGAGGCACACGGUGGUAAUGUUUGUUAGAAAAAAAAAAAAAUAAUGGUUUUUCAAAAAUCGGUUGGGAUUAAGUGGUGGUUUUGAAGUGUGUUAGGUAUUUUUAUAUAAAUAUAUUAAAAUAAUAUUUUAAAAAAAACAUUAUUUUUAACAAAAAUAUAUUAAAAAUUUAAAAACAUAACAAAAUAAUUAAUUUAAAUAAAAAUUUUAAAAUUUAAUGAAAAAUAGGUUACACACAACCCCAAAAAAUCUAAAAAUUUAUGAACUUUUAACAAGCUAUAGUCCCCACUAUUUUGAAAUUCUUGAGGACUGUUGUAUUACUGAAACAUAUAGUUAUUGGAAACAACCAAAUGUUUAUCAAUUUAUUAAUGACAAAUCAUCACACACAGCUAGCUAAGGAAAUUACACAAAGCAGACACUCCGAGCCUUAUGCUGAUCUUUGCAAGUGACAAACUGUUGUAGAAGAUCUCAGCCGACAGGACCCUCACAGUAGUAAACCUAAAGAAAAUUAGACAAACAUAGAAUUUAAUAAUGAUGUAUUAAGUUCAAAUAAAUUUAAAUUUCUUUGUAUUAAGUUCAAAGAAAUUUAAAUUAGACACCCACGACAUGCCUUGUCUUGUUCUUUUGCUCUGGUUAAAUCUGAUGGAGUUCCACUUGAACCUGCCCCUCCAAAACACAAGAGGUUGUGUCAAAUAAACAUUGAAAAGAAUUUAAAAGGAAAAAAAAGGAAUAGAAGAAUGGAUAAAAUUGUGAAACUAAAUAUGAUAUAUUUAAAUACUGUACCUAAUCAGAUGUUUCUUCACCACUAUCAUCAUCAUCAACCUUGAUUUUAGGGAUAUGUUUGAUCUUGGGCCAAUCUUCUCCUGUUCCCUUUCGACACCUUUUGCUCAACCUUGGACAAUCACUGAUCUCAAGAUUUUGAAGUUUCUUUAAAUUGCGGAUGCACUCCGGCAUUUCUUCAAUGUUUAGACAGUUUGCGAUCAUAAAUGUUUGUAAGGAUUCUGCAUAUCCUUGAAGAAACUGUUCUGGUAAAGCAAGAGUAGCCGGUAACCCUGCAAAUAUUACAAUACGAAGGGAAGAGGAAAGAGAUUGAAUUUUUUUUUCUUUCUCCUUUUCUAUUGUCAUCAAAUCAAGCUUUUCACAGUCACAAAUACAAAAUUCUUCCAGAGUAGUUAGGCAUUUUAUGUUUCGUGACAGAGAAAUCAAGCUUCCACAACUAACAAUAAACAAUUUUCGAAGACUUUUAAGACCUUCCAUAUCUUCGCACAAAUUUUCUAGAUUUUCACAAUUAACAAUGUAUAAAGUUUGAAGACACUCCAAACACCCAAUCCCUCCUUCUGGCAACCGCUUCUGCUGAGUACCUAGAGCUAAAAAUCUAAGGCUGCUCAUGUGCCUCACAUCUUUGGGCAGCUCUUCUAAUCCGUCACCUGUAAGCAGAGCUUGCAAGUUUUGCAAUUUGAAAAUAGAUUUUGGGAGUCUUUUUAUUUUUGCGUUCUUCCCAAAAUGGAGAUAUCUCAAGUGUUUCAAGGCGCCAAUCCUCUCCGGAAAAGCCUCAAAUUCAGAAUCAUCCAUUAAUUCCAAAGACCGCAAAUGCUUAAAUUCUAACAAACAUUUCUCAAAGUCUGUUUUGCAUGUAGGCCCCUCUAUACUAUCUGCAAAGACUAUUGACCGCACUUGAUGGAAGUUGUUUGGGAACUUGGGGAGAGUUUUAUGAAAAAAUGAAUUAGAGUCGAGAACUGACAAAUGACGGGUCGUUUUUGAAAUUUGGUGGUUUUUAGAGCUUAUGAUUGAAAACUCAUUUUGAGCCAAUGAUGAUGCAAGAUCAUGCAUUAAAUCAUGCAUCUUAAAGGAAGCUGAAAUUAUCCAAUCCUCAUAAUCUUGGAAGAAACAUCUUGAGAUCAACUCGCGCACAUAACGCAAGCCAACAUCUUCCAACUUCUCAUUUGGAUUUGAUGAUUG